UGUCUUUGUGAAGACUUCAUGACGUUUAAGG
rnacentral:piRNA from 1 species